rnacentral:rRNA from 1 species
AGCAGCCGCGGUAAUUCCAGCUCCAAUAGCGUAUAUUAAAGUUGUUGCAGUUAAAAAGCUCGUAGUUGAAUUUCGGGAUCAGUACGUCGGUCGUGCCUUCGGUAUGUACUGGUGUCACUGGUUCCUCCCUUCUGACGAACCGUCAUGCCAUUAAUUUGGUGUGGCGGGAAAUCAGGACUGUUACUUUGAAAAAAUUAGAGUGUUUAAAGCAGGCUCACGCUUGAAUACAUUAGCAUGGAAUAAUGAAAUAGGACGUUGAUCUUAUUUUGUUGGUUUCUAGGAUUGACGUAAUGAUUAAUAGGGAUAGUUGGGGGCAUUAGUAUUCAAUUGUCAGAGGUGAAAUUCUUGGAUUUAUUGAAGACUAACUACUGCGAAAGCAUUUGCCAAGGAUGUUUUCAUUAAUCAAGAACGAAAGUUAGGGGAUCGAAGACGAUCAGAUACCGUCGUAGUCUUAACCAUAAACUAUGCCGACUAGGGAUCGGAUGAUGUUAUUUUUAAUGACUCAUUCGGCGCCUUAAC